AGAACGAACGCUGGCGGCAUGCCUAAUACAUGCAAGUCGAACGAACUCUUCGGAGUUAGUGGCGCACGGGUGCGUAACGCGUGGGAAUCUGCCCCUUGGUUCGGAAUAACAGUUGGAAACGACUGCUAAUACCGGAUGAUGACGAAAGUCCAAAGAUUUAUCGCCAAGGGAUGAGCCCGCGUAGGAUUAGCUAGUUGGUGAGGUAAAGGCUCACCAAGGCAACGAUCCUUAGCUGGUCUGAGAGGAUGAUCAGCCACACUGGGGCUGAGACACGGUCCAGACUCCUACGGGAGGCAGCAGUGGGGAAUAUUGGACAAUGGGACGAAAGCCUGAUCCAGCCAUGCCGCGUGUGUGAAGAAGGUC
rnacentral:rRNA from 1 species